AUCUGGAGGGCAACAGUGUAGAGACCACUGUAGCCCUCUAGAUGUUGCUAGGCAACUUACCGGCUUCCGUCGGAGCCAGCCGCACGACAUGCAGAUCUCCGACACCGAUCGUCGCCCGCAGGGUAAGUGGACUUCGUCGCCGGUCCUCCUUGAUUUCCCCAUUCUGCCCCACCUAUUGUGGGUGAGCAGAACGGGGAGUUGAUGUUUUGCAACAGAUGGACAGCCACAGGGGAUCAGUGGUGAUGUAUGUCAAUCUAGGACCAUGGUGUCUGAUCUUGAACUGGCAGCAGGAGCCGUGACCACUUUAAAUCAGUGGCUGCUGGGAUGUCUGACGAGUGACAUCCUUUGCUCCAGACCACAUCAGGGAUGUCACUCGUCAGACGUCCCGGCAGCCAGCGCUGCUCAUUGAGCCUGCCAGAGCCGCACUGAUCUGUGUAAGAAACCUAUGGGCCCUGGCUUUUGGGCCCAAAUUAUAUUACAAAUACUGAGUGUCUGGUUAGGAGAAACAAGUAUAUUGCACCUACAGGGAGUAGCACCAUUUUAAUAAAAAAUUGCCCAAAAUCCCUUAGAUAACAGUCAUACAGAAUAUAUUACAAAGCUUGUUUGUUUUUCAGCCAAUCAGAGAGCAGCACUACUGAAAUAGAACUCCCAGGAGGUAACAGCGUGUCACACAUGUGAUGUCAUAACCAUUGUCCACCAGAGAGCAGCACUGAGCAGAUAUAACACUGCUCCUGCUCAUUCUUCAUCAGUGAGGGGCUGAUGCUGGACACUGUAGGGACCGAGAAUGCAAAGUCACAUACACUACUGUGACUGAUAAUCUAUCUUUUGUUUUCCUAUCUUAGAUGCACUAUUUCCAGGAUGUGGAGUAGCAUUUCCGGACCUACAGCAAGACGUUGGAUGAAGACGUAGAUUUCCAGACCUAUUCCAGAAGAAUUUGGAUGAAGGCACAGCCCCUCGAAUCACGCACAUACACAGACACAUUUGCCCAAAUUCUAGAGGUAACCUCCUUUAGUAUGCCCAGAGGAAGGGCAAUACAGUAGCCAUGGAUUCCCUACAGGUUUCCUCCCCUCUGGAGGUUUUUCCUGUCCUGAGUAUUAGUUACUGUACGCUCUUUGUGAGUGAUGGAGGUUACAAAAAAUCCCCGACACAAACAUUUUUAUAUUUAAUAAAUAAAGUUCCCCUUUUUAAACCA